GGAUAAUAAACCAAGGUGUGAUGA
rnacentral:siRNA from 1 species